UACAGAGGUCUCAACCGUUGUUCGGAUUCAUUGGGCGUAAAGGGUGCGUAGGCGGUCGGGUAAGUCGGAUGUGAAAUCUCAGGGCUCAACCCUGAAACUGCAUUCGAUACUGCUUGGCUAGGGUACUGGAAGAGGAGACGAUUGAAGUUUACGGUGUAGCAGAUGAAUGCGUAGAUAUCGUAAGGAAGACCAGUGGCGAAGGCGAGUCUCUGGACAGUUACCGACGCUGAGGCACGAAGGCCAGGGGAGCAAACGGG
rnacentral:rRNA from 1 species